rnacentral:lncRNA from 1 species
AUGUUGUUGGGCGUAAAAAAAACUGGCAUUUCUGUUAGUGCAUUUCCAGCCCCUUCGGUUGGGGGAAGACGAAAGUGUGCCUGUAAAAAAUGCCAAGGUCACCGCAAGGCUCGGGGAGAGGCAGAUAAAAACAGGUUCCCACACAUCCAUCUCCCGCGUCUCUGGACAGGGCAGGACUGUCCGGCGAUUCCCGCCGCCUUUCGCCCACAGGUUUCAAACGCCUUCGGUGGCCCAUUCCAGCCACGAAAUCCACAGCAUCCCUUCUCCGUCGUCAUGCUGGGUUUUCUGCUCGUGAGCGGGAUGCUGGCCGGGGUGACCUGCACAUCCAAGGAGACGAGCCUUCUUCACGAGGAGCCACCGCUGGAAAGGACGGGGGUUCCUCUCAAUGACAGCUGCAGGGAAGCGGUCCUUCGGCACGUAGGGGCGGCCGUCCUCGCUCUGCUCAGGUUGGACCACCCUCCCAGAUUCACCGCGGACGGCACUAGCCGGGUGCGCGAAGCCUGGGCGAAAGAGGUGGCAACGCUCCCGUCGUUGAUCUCAGACGGCCAGCGCCUCGGAGACGUCCCCGCCAAUCAGACGCUGCUGACUCAAAGAGGGCGCUGCGUUCAAGCGUCACACCACGUCACCCUGGCAGAUCUUGGCUGGCAACACUGGGUGCUCCGUCCGAGGGGCUUCGUCUUCGCAGAAUGCUUGAGGUGCCCCUGCCGGAGAAAGGAAGAGGGGCCUCCGCGUUGGGUUCAAGAAUGCCGGCUUGGGGGCCUGGAAAACCAGCCGGAUCCAGACACAAAGCAGGUAGGAGAGUGA